rnacentral:tRNA from 1 species
GCGAGAGUGGCGGAAAUGGCAGACGCGCUGGACUUAGGAUCCAGUGGGCCAAAACCCGUGCGGGUUCAACUCCCGCCUCUCGCACCA